rnacentral:rRNA from 1 species
GAUGAACGCUGGCGGCGUGCCUAAUACAUGCAAGUCGAGCGAACAGACGAGGAGCUUGCUCCUCUGACGUUAGCGGCGGACGGGUGAGUAACACGUGGAUAACCUACCUAUAAGACUGGGAUAACUUCGGGAAACCGGAGCUAAUACCGGAUAAUAUAUAGAACCGCAUGGUUCAAUAGUGAAAGACGGUUUUGCUGUCACUUAUAGAUGGAUCCGCGCCGCAUUAGCUAGUUGGUAAGGUAACGGCUUACCAAGGCAACGAUGCGUAGCCGACCUGAGAGGGUGAUCGGCCACACUGGAACUGAGACACGGUCCAGACUCAUACGGGAGGCAGCAGUAGGGAAUCUUCCGCAAGGGGCGAAAGCCUGACGAAGCAACGCCGAGUGAGUGAUGAAGGUCUUCGGAUCGUAAUACUAUGUUAUUAGGGAAGAACAAAUGUGUAAGUAACUAUGCACGUCUUGACGGUACCUAAUCAGAAAGCCACGGCUAACUACGUG